rnacentral:rRNA from 1 species
UAAGCAUAUCAAUAAGCGGAGGAAAAGAAACUAACAAGGAUUCCCCUAGUAACUGCGAGUGAAGCGGGAAAAGCUCAAAUUUAAAAUCUGUCAGUCUUUGGCUGUCCGAGUUGUAAUCUAGAGAAGCGUUAUCCGCGCUGGACCGUGUACAAGUCUCCUGGAAUGGAGCGUCAUAGAGGGUGAGAAUCCCGUCUUUGACACGGACUGCCAGUGCUUUGUGAUGCGCUCUCAAAGAGUCGAGUUGUUUGGGAAUGCAGCUCAAAAUGGGUGGUAAAUUCCAUCUAAAGCUAAAUAUUGGCGAGAGACCGAUAGCGAACAAGUACCGUGAGGGAAAGAUGAAAAGAACUUUGGAAAGAGAGUUAAACAGUACGUGAAAUUGCUGAAAGGGAAACGCUUGAAGUCAGUCGCGUUGUCCAGGGAUCAACCUUGCUUCUGCUUGGUGUACUUUCUGGUUGACGGGUCAGCAUCAAUUUUGACCAUUGGAAAAAGAUUAAGGGAAUGUGGCAUCCUUGGAUGUGUUAUAGCCUUUGGUUGCAUACAAUGGUUGGGAUUGAGGAACUCAGCACGCCGCAAGGCCGGGUUUUUAACCACGUACGUGCUUAGGAUGCUGGCAUAAUGGCUUUAAUCGACCCGUCUUGAAACACGGACCAAGGAGUCUAACAUGCCUGCGAGUGUUUGGGUGGAAAACCCGAGCGCGUAAUGAAAGUGAAAGUUGAGAUCCUUGUCAUGGGGAGCAUCGACGCCCGGACCAGACCUUUUGUGACGGUUCCGCGGUAGAGCAUGUAUGUUGGGACCCGAAAGAUGGUGAACUAUGCCUGAAUAGGGUGAAGCCAGAGGAAACUCUGGUGGAGGCUCGUAGCGAUUCUGACGUGCAAAUCGAUCGUCAAAUUUGGGUAUAGGGGCGAAAGACUAAUCGAACCAUCUAGUAAGCUGGUUCCUGCCGA